UUGCGAUGCGGAGAAUUGUGGUUAUUGAACAAAAGGAUAAUCCUAUGUUGAGAUGGGAUAAAUUACAAUUAUUAAUUUGGAAUACAAUAAUGCAUGAAUGAUUCGAAAGAAGUUCGUUAGAUUUAUUUUAGCAUUAUAUUUCUAAGCCGAAGAUGUGGAAAAGUGUAGCUCUGUAUUACGAUUGACUAGUACGAACAAUGUUAACCUGCACUGUUGCAGCAAGUUGGCUCAGCUUUGUUAUUGUACCAAAGUUUCAAAAGUAAAAAAGUGUACUUUGGCCAGUGAGUUUUAGUUGAUACUAGAUGUUUAUUGUCAUAACUGACAUUAGCAAACAGUUUUAUUUGAUGCAAAUCUAAUACUAUUAAUAGUAAUACUGUAAAUGUAACAUCGAGAAGUAUCUCACUACAAUUUGCAAACAGUACUAUUUUUACAGUAAGGUGAUUUACAUUCGAUAGACAAACCACAUUGUGUCUGUGGUGCUUUAAUUUUAAUUUCAUUUCACAGUUACAGUGAAACAUUUGAAUUGAGCUUGUAAUUGUUUGUUUCAUUGGAAGCCCACCCAUCCCCCAAAAAAAGCCAUGUCAUCACGAGAUUUUUAUUAUAGUAGAUCUAGAGGAAGAGGGAGAAACAGGCCACCUAGAGCUAGGGGGUUUUAUGCAAGGGGAAGAGGUCGAGGAAAGGAGCAUUAUAAGUCUCAUGGUUAUGAAGAUAAAUAUUAUAAGCAUGGUAAAGAAAGAUAUGAAAGUUCAAGAAGAAGACAUGAUAGGAAGCGCUCAUACUCACGAAGUAGAUCUCGGUCUCGAUCACGUAGUCACAGUAGAGAUAGCCGUAUUCAUUACUCUCACAAACGUUCAAGAACUAGGUCCUAUUCACGUUCUCCUUCCCACCACAGGAGUCGUUCUCCUCAAUCAUCCCAUGGUAGAAGUCAUUCUCCCUCCUAUAAUAGAAGUCGUUCUUCACCACAACGCCGAAGUCAAUCUCCUCCAUUAUCCUAUCAUCGCAAUCGUUCUCCAUCUUAUUGUCAAAGUUAUACUCCACCCUCACCAUCUAGAAGUAAGAGAUCAAGGGAAAAGGAAGUGGAUCGCACACCUGAACAUCCUCCAAGGAGUAGGUUACAGUCUUCACCAGAAGAAAGAAAAUAUCAAGAGCCUUCAUCGAAAUCUGCUAGAAGUAUAGAAGAAGAAAAUGUUGACAUUAAGAAAAUCCAUACUCAAUCCAUGGAGAGCUCUGAAAUGACUCUUACUUGGAAGGAUGAUAAUAAGUGUAGAAUCAAAGAAAUUGAAAGUAUGAAAAAUAGACCACUAAAAACAGCUAAGGAUAUGCCAAUUUUUUCAGAUGAUGAACUAGAUUGUAGUGAGAAACAAAAGAAGGAUAACAGAUACGAAAUUGAAUCUGGAAAAGAAAAUGACAUUCGAACUCAGCUAUUGGAGAGAGCCAUGAUGGAGAAACGGAAACUUGGAUUAGAUAACUUUGGUAGCACAGACAAGAGUUCAGCAUUAGAAGCAUUGCAGUGUUACAGUCGUGAUCAUAGUCCUCAUGCAGAAAAAGAGGAAGAAGUUAAAAGUAUGAAAAAUAUCUUAUCCAGAGAGAUCGUAGAAGACUCCAAAAGUUACUUGAGUCAAGAAAAGGUUUGUCAAGAACCAGAUAUGUUUGGAAGAAAACAAGAAAUUUCUGUUUUCCAACCCAUUACUAGCAGUAAGCCUCUUAAAUCUAUUUUGAAAGUUCGUAAAACAGAUGAGCACUCUGAAAGUUAUGGAACUGAAACUAUAAUUAAAAGUGCUCCAAAGAAAGAAGAAAGUUUUUCUUUUCUUCAAAUCCCAGGCCUAGGUUUUGAUGAUGAGGAGGAUGUCGAAGAGUUUUUGUAUGGUGAUAGUGAAAGUACCUCCAAAAGUAGCAUACACACUUCUUUAAAAUCUUCUUGUCCAGGAAUUGGAGAACAUUUUGAUAACAUUACAAAAAGUAAAAAAAGUAGUGGGUGGAGUGAUGAAGAGGAUAACUUUCAAAAUAGUGAUAGAGGUAUGUACACUAGAAAUAGGACUCCCAGUCCAGUACAGAGAGAUGAAAACUAUAAAACUGUUUUCAGUAACAGAAAGCAACAGUCUGAGUUUGAAGAAAGCACUAAAUCUGAAACUCAAAAACCUUCAUCUUCAUAUAGGAGUGCAUCAGUUGAUGAUGAUUUAAUAAUAGACUUGCAGUUACCAAAAGACAAAUGCAAUUUUUCAAGAGCUAGAAGUCCUGAUAAAGAAAGAAGCAGCUUUAAAGAACUGCCAGAAAAACAAAUGUAUGGGAUGUGGGAAUCUUCAGAAAGAGAAAGUGAAAUAGGCCACCAUUCUCCUUCAAGAUAUUCCAGAUCAUUGGAAGAUUCUCAUAGUCCCCCAUUGUAUUCUUCUGUUCAAAGACAUAAGAUGGAUGACAUCAGGGAAAACAAGCAUCUAAAGGUUGAAUCUGACAUACCUCAAUACAGCUUAUUUAGAUCUAAGGAUUUAAACAUAAAAAACCAAAAUAUGAGAGAAUAUGAAAACAGAAAGCAGACAGCUACAACUAGUUCUUUGUCAACACUUUAUGAAGAUUUGUCUAAAGAAAAGUUGAGAGCUUUAAAAGAAGAACUAGCUCAUCUCAAAUGUCUAGAAAGCAAACCUGGAAGUUAUGAACAACAUAAUUACUUAAGAAAAAUAGAGAAAUACAGCCCUGAAAAUUCAAAACAAAUAAUCAGGUUAGCAAAAAAAUUAAGUCCUUCAAUAGACUAUGCUGCUCAAAAAAAUUCACUUGAAAGAAAACAACUUAGCCCUGAUUAUGAUGUUGAUAAAACAAUAUCCCUCGAAAGAGGGGAACAUAGUCCUGGUUAUGAUGUUAGUGAUAAAAUUUUUCUUCAAAGAAGAGAUUUUAACCCUGUCUAUGAUCCUUCUAGGAAAAUGUUACUUGAAGGACGAGAAUUGAGUCCUUGUCGUGAUGAUAGAAAAACCUCAUAUGAAAGAGGAGAGAGUAGCCCUGGUUAUGAUGUUGUUAGAAAAAUGUCAAUUGAAAGAAGGGAACUUAGUCCUGCAAAUGAUGUUGGAAGGAAAACUUCAGCUGAGAGAAAAAAGGUUAGCCCAGAUUAUGAUGCUGGUUCAAAAUCUUUCAUUGAAAGAAGAGAACUUAGUCCUAGUUAUGAUAUUGACAGGAAGACAUUACUUGAGAGAAGAAAGCUAAGCCCUGUUUAUGAUGCUGGUAGAAAAAAAUUCAUUGAAAGAAGAGAACAUAGUCCUUGUUAUGAUGUUAGUAGGAAAACCUCAGUCAAAAAAAGAGAUCAUAGCCCUGAUUAUGAUAAUGGUAGAAAAACAUCUUUAGAGAGAAGAGAGUAUAGCCCUGAUUAUACAGAAUAUAGUCGAACCUCUGGCUUUGAAUUUCAGGGAAGAAAGAUGAAUGAAAGGGAAAGAUAUUCAUUGGAAAGUCUUAAAAGGAGUCCAUUUUCUGGAAGGUACCAGGUUAGUGAAGAAUCUUUAAGAAGAAACUCUGUAGAAAGAUUCUGUAGGUCAUUAGAGAAGAAAACAAAAUCUUCCAGAAAAUACCCCUUGGAAGAAAGAAGCUCUCUAAGUCCAAGGCGGAACUCUCUGGAUAGAAGGCAUGGUUCCCGAUCUUCUUACGAAGACACGCCUCAACAGAAAUACUCCUUUGAAAGAAGUCCAGAAAGAGAAUAUAUGGAAAGAAGAAGAAAAAGUCCUAGAAGGUCUCCUGAUAUCAGUCCCAGGAGAGAACAUUGGAACCACUCCCCUAAACAUUUGUCCCCAAGUCUAAAAAGAAGUCCACAAAAUAAAGUUUGUUAUGACUCUGGCAAACCUGUGGCUAUGGAUCCAGAGAAAAUGGAUGCAGAAGCAUGUGAACUUUAUGGAAUUAACCAAACAAUGCAGAAUUCAUCCUUUUUUGAUUGUGGUUUAUCUACACAUCCUGAAUUAAGUGGUAUUUUACCAAGACCGCCUGAUUUUGGUCACCCAGUGCCUCCAACUACUUAUCCACCACCUAAUUUUCAAGAAUCACAUGUACCACCAACAAGUGGUCAUGUUCCACAGGAUCACUUGUUUCCUCCACCUUUUACAUCAUUCCCUCCCCCAGGGUACCAAUAUUCUUCUUACAGCAUGCCUCCUGUGAUCCCUACAUACUCUCAACCUGUUGUUUUACCCUCUCUUUCUGUUCCUCCUCCAAGUUUGCCAUCGCAGUAUACACAACGUCCUCCUCGCUCCAACCUCAGAGUUAUUCCUUUGGAUUCAAAUAUCCAGAGCAAUCCUGUGGUGUAUGCACCAAAACCUGAAAUUAAAGUAGAACCUGACCAAAAGUUUGUUGAUUUGACUGAAGAAGAGAUGAAAGAAUUGGUGGACAAGAAGAGAGAGCUACGGAAACAAUUGAACUUGCUGAUGGCUGAAGUUGAGAGGUUGCGUAAGACACAAGGAGAAAUGAUGAGAAAAAAGCAAAGAGAAAAAGAUGGUCACAAGGACCCACUUUUACUGGAAAACAGCAAGUUACAGGAUGAAAUUGGCAAGCAAAUCACAGACCUGAAGAAAAUAGUUGAAGAAACAGAAAAAAAAAUAAAGUUUGGAAUGCGGCCUCUUUACUCGCAAGAAGCAGAACCUGUUCACCAAGAAUUUAAGAAAGCUGAAUUCAAAACAGAAGAAAGUAUUGAAGAAAUCAUGCGUUUUGAGUACUUUGAUCCAGGCAGCCAUUGGUGUAAACUGUGUAAUGAAGUUAAUUUCACUCUUCCCCAAGUGUUUGAUCAUCUACAUAGCAACAAACAUAAGCAGAAAGGCUCCAGAGAAAUAGGCCCAUUAUGUAGAUUCCAGACACCAGUCUAAGGAACAAAGUGAACCUAUGCAUGUUAAAUACAAAUCUUUACAAGAGACUCUCUGUGCUAUGCCCACCACGGGUAUCGAAAUCCGACUUCCAGUGUUAUAAGCCUUCAGACUUACCGCUGAGCCACUGGACUAAGGAAACAUCGUAGCAUUGGAGGAGACGUUAAAACAAAGACUGUGGGGUUAACGUACAAAAUAUUUGCGGUUAAUAUGUUAAUAUCAUUUAUUUAGCGCAUGUGAUUUUUAUUAUUCUUACUUUAUUUUUCAUUGUGUGAUUUAAUACGAGCUCUCAACUACAUCACUGUAGAUUGGAGAAAAACUUGGAAAAUACCAAACAACAAGAAGCCUAUAAAACAAAAAUUGACAUCAGCAAAAAUAAAAGGCCUUCACAUCUUAGAAACAACUAAAACAAUGUCAUCGAAAGAGCCGAUAAAGGAAACUCGUUAUUCAACCAACCAAACACAAUGAUAACUUAAUGGUAAAUAUAUGGAAUCAUACGUCUAAAUUUCCUCAGUCAAACAUUGACUUCAACAUACAAUAAUAAAUUUAAGCAAACUAUUCAAACCCCUAAUAAAGGAAAAAAUACUAUUA
rnacentral:misc_RNA from 1 species